UAAUUUACCCUUGGCAUUGAGUUACUGCCCUAGAGCAGUGGGUAUCAGUGGGUAUAACUGGCAAAUUGUAUUAUCUUCCCCAGGUGAUGGUAUAAGAGGGGGAAUUUUGGGCCCCCAGGACCCCCAGGUCCCCCUGGAUCCCAGGGACACAAGGGAGAGCAGGGUAGCUCUGGGUACGGCCACGCCUUCGACCACAGGACCAGCGAGGGAAGAAGGCUGGCUGAGACUGAGACAGACUACUCCAAUAUAGCGGUCCGAGUGACUGACUACAUCAAGUACCAUGGUCUGUUGAGGGACGUGGUUGAGAACCGGUCUCAGCUGGAGAAGUCACAGGUUGUUCAAGGACCCCCAGGACCCCCUGGCCCUCCCGGUGCGCCAAGAUUCAGCCGUGUUUUUGGAUCCCAUAGUAACGCCACUGACCUUGUGGAAUACAUCAGAGCCCAUGGAAACAUUGUGGGACCCCCUGGAAGGCCAGGACAGAAAGGGGACAUAGGACAUACAGGUCACAAAGGCGAGAGAGGACUAGAUGGAAUCCCAGGAAGGACAGUCCUCCCUGGUCUGGAGUGGAAAAGGGGGGGAAAAGGAGAACACACACUCGUGAUGCACAGAAGGAGGAGGAGGAAUGUUGGUGUUUGAGAUGAUAUGAUUGUUAAAUACCCAUUAAAAAGGUGAAUGAAAGUCCUAUGAAAUAUGUCAUAAGUCAUGAGCACACAUGUGUGGGGGCCUAAUGCCUUGGAGACAUUACCGAUGUGAAUAUAUUAUUUUCUAUGGGAGAAACUGUUGAACAGGACAGUGGUCCAUGCGCUGAUGUAUUGUGUUGUGUCAAAGACGUCUUUAUGAUCUAUUUUAUUUUUAGUGUUUGAUCUGGAGUAUGUUUCUAAAUCACCUUCUUGCAUGUUGAUAGCAAGAAUAGUUCAACUAUGUGACAAAUAGGGGUGUGCUACUUUUAUUCAAUAGCUUUUGUACCAUUAUCGUUAUUGUACUUGAGGAAAAACACAUUUCGUAUCGAACAAAAUUCAAACCAUUGUCAAAAUCUUCUUUGAAUGUACUGGUAUCACUUUCUAAAAAUAAAGCUUGGUUUAUUUAAUCAAA